rnacentral:tRNA from 3 species
AGAUAUAAGGGUUAAAGCCCCUUCAACUCCU